rnacentral:rRNA from 1 species
UACGGGGGGGGCAAGCGUUGUUCGGAAUUACUGGGCGUAAAGGGCGCGUAGGCGGCCUUCUAAGUCAGACGUGAAAUCCCUCGGCUCAACCGAGGAACUGCGUCUGAUACUGGAAGGCUUGAAUCCGGGAGAGGGAUGUGGAAUUCCAGGUGUAGCGGUGAAAUGCGUAGAUAUCUGGAGGAACACCGGUGGCGAAGGCGGCAUCCUGGACCGGUAUUGACGCUAAGGCGCGAAAGCUAGGGGAGCAAACGGG